UAGGGAGCCUCGGCUGAAGAAAGAAAUUGAUUGGUGCGGAGAAACCCACCCUGAUUGUGGAUGGCCCCUUCUGGCAGCAGUCCAGGUUUAUGCCAAACACCCAGGAAGGGGUAGAGAAUCUUCCCGCAUUUCUCCUGAUGGGCAAUGAAACAACAUGGCUUCCAACUGGGAACAUUUACUGAAAACCCAAAACAAAAGAAGUGAAUGGCAGAAGACAUACAUAACCCCCUGGGCUGUGAUCUCUAAAUUCCACAUUCAGAAGCCUUGACUGUGGACAUUGAGGGAGUGAAGAAAGCAUUGACACAGAAAAAGCAAUACAGCGGGGUCAGGUGGGGCUUUCUAAUGGCUACUACAGCAGCUAUCUGGAACAUAGUGUGUUUAUUAGGUAUGGCCUGGAGUAGGUGUGGCCUUGUUGGAAUGGGCGUGUCACUGUGGGCCUGGGCUUUAGGACCCUCAUUCUAGCUGCCUGGAAGUCAGUCUUCUCCUAGCAGCCUUCAGAUGAAGAUGUAGAACUCACAGCUCCUUCUGCACCAUGUCUGCCUGGACUCUGCCAUGCUCCUGCCUUGAUGAUAAUGGACUGAGCCUCUGAACCCGUAAGCCAGUCAACAAUUAAAUGCUG
rnacentral:lncRNA from 1 species